AGCUCCAAUAGCGUAUAUUAAAGUUGCUGCAGUUAAAAAGCUCGUAGUUGGAUUUCUGGCUUGGUGCGCCUGGCCCGCCACGGUUACGUGUGUGAGUGCUGGGUCGCGCCUGCCAUCCUUCUAGAGAACGUCUCUACUCUUCAUUGAGCCGGAGGCGCAAUCUAGAUCUUUUACUUUGAAAAAAUUAGAGUGUUUAAAGCAGGCUUUUGCUAUGAAUACAUUAGCAUGGAAUAAUAAUUUAGGACUUCGGUUCUAUUUUGUUGGUUUCUAGGACUGAAGUAAUGAUUGAUAGGGAUAGUUGGGGGUGCUAGUAUUCAGCGGCCAGAGGUGAAAUUCUCGGAUUCGCUGAAGACUAACUUAUGCGAAAGCAUUCACCAAGGAUGUCUUCU
rnacentral:rRNA from 2 species